CGUAGGUGGCAAGCGAUACUCGGAAUCACUAGGCGUAAAGCGCAGGUAGGAGGUUGGAUAAGUCUCUUGUGAAAGCUCCCGGCUUAACUGGGAGAGGUCAAGGGAAACUAUUCGGCUAGAGUGUGGUAGAGGUAGAUGGAAUUCCCGGUGUAGCGGUGAAAUGCGUAGAUAUCGGGAGGAAUACCUAUGGCGAAAGCAGUCUACUGGACCAUCACUGACUCUGAUCUGCGAAAGCUAGGGGAGCAAACAGGAUUAGAUACCCUGGUAGUCCUAGCCCUAAACGAUGCUCAUUAGGUGUGGGAGGUAUCGACCCCUUCCGCGCCGUAGCUAACGCAUUAAAUGAGCCGCCUGGGGAGUACGGCCGCAAGGUUG
rnacentral:rRNA from 1 species